rnacentral:piRNA from 1 species
GAGGUUGCUGGAGCCUGUUUGAUGAGAGCA